rnacentral:lncRNA from 1 species
AGGUGGAUUUGGGCAGAGAACGUGGAUUUCCCCAGAAUGUGAUUGUAGACGGCUGGUGUGAGUUCGGGAAUAAAGAGUUGCUGUUUGAAUCUACAAGCUGUGUGGUGGCUCGUGAUUGUGUGCCCAGCCAGACUGCGGCAUUUGUGCCCAGCCAGACUGUGGCAUUUGGUGGCCCGUACGGGGAAAUCCUACCAGCAUCUUCAAGAGAUACUAUAGCAUUAACUACAUACUGACUAUCAGAAAAUAAAUUAAAUACAGAAUCUUUAAACAUCAAAAAAGCUUGUAAAACUGCAUUAAGCUCUACCUUUUGAGCUGAUUGUUUGGGUACUAAAAAUGUAAAAGUUCGAUCUGGGGUAACUACUGCUGCUGUACCAUUAUUAGACCCAUCAGUGAAUAUAUUUGGAGCAUUCAUGAUAGGUGUUUUUCUUGUCAUUUUAGGAAAAACUACAGGAUGCUUAGACCAAAAAGACAACAAAGGAUUAGAUGGUAAA